rnacentral:lncRNA from 1 species
GAUAAUCAUUAAAACUCAGGCCCAGACAAGUUAGAGAGCAGGCCAGGAAAACAGGAGCAGGAAGAAUUGGGAGCAGAUUUUAUAAAGAAUGGAGGACCAAAAGCAAAGCUGCCCUCCAUCCCGGAAGAGUCCGAAGGACCUUCUACAAAAUGAGAUUGGAGACUAGAGGCACAGGCAUGUAGAAUAUUCUGGUAAAUAACUCGAUGUCAAUGCCUUUGCUCAAAACUGGAGCCGCUGGCACCUCACUGCAGGAAUGGUGAGAGGAAGUGGACUCUCCCACUUUGAGGUUGUGUCCUGAAUAGACUAACAUGUAGCAUCCUGCACCAUGUCCCUCACCAGCCUCUGCAGAGCAACUUAACAGCAAGAAAAACAAAACCAGAGGAAGGGGUGAGAGAAAAAAAAGCAAAUGGGGAACUGAAAAAUUAUUGAAGGGCUGGUGAGGUGACUCAGUGGAAAAAGGAGCUUGCUGUCAAGUCUGAAGACCAGAGUUCAAUUCCCAGGACCCACCUGGUGGAAGUUGUCUUCAAACUGCCCCAUGAAUAUUCAAACACAAGCAUGUAUAUUCAUACAAAAUAAAUAAAUAUAAUUUAAAAAAAUAAACGGCUGAAAAGUAAA